rnacentral:lncRNA from 1 species
CGCGGCUGACUCCUGCGGCCGUGUCUGUGGCCGUGCUCGCAGCCGGUCCGCGGCCUGUACCUGCGGCCGAGCCGAGGCCGGCAGCGUUCACGCUGUUGGCGACGCCCCUGGCCGCGCACGGGUAACCCCCUCCCCUUUCAUCUUCUUUGCUUUCAUUCUUUCUGUGUUAUCCUAAAUAAAUCAGGAGGAGAGAAGGCAGGGGGCUUACCUAGCUUCCGGGGGGGGAAGGUACCACGAGCAUCUUCUCCGGCGACGGAUGUGGGUUCGGCAACCCUUUCUCACAGAAAAGAGGAAGGAAGGAGGAGGGGGUACAGUGAGAGAGAGAGCCCUAGGAAUACACAACAUCAGGAUCUUUAGCUGGGGUGACGUGUCAUCCCCAGCUUCCUCCUCGUGAAGGACCUAACAGGGCCCUCCACAGCUUCCUAGCUGUCCCUACCCUAGUCACAUCCAUCCUUAGGCAUAAAGAUAACAGCAAUCAAAUGGCUGCCAAUAAUGGGCCCAAAUGCU